rnacentral:misc_RNA from 1 species
UGUGGGAGCUGGCUUGCCUGCGAUGCAGACACUGCGGUGUAACUGAUACACCGCGGUGAUGCUAUCGCUGGCAAGCCAGCUCCCACA